AAUACCACAAUUUUCUAAACUUAUGACUACACUAUGUACAUACAUAUACUUAUACACAUCUCACAAAACAAAUAAAUUAAACUGGAGUAAAUCCCCUUCUCUGAGUAAUGAAUUAUUACCACGUGCAUAACUUGUUUCUAAUAAUAAUAAAAAUUAAGUUUUGAAAUAUUUAGAUAAUUGAAAGUAUGAAGUCAACCCUGCUUCCAGUGCAGAUAUUGCUGUCCAUUUUCUCCCCCCCGUUGAGACAGAGAUUUGUGGAUAAUGCAAUUUGGGAGAAGGACUUUCCCGAGAUGAGAUGGACCAUGUCGCCCGAAGACAAACGCGAGUGUCACCAACGAUUCAAAGAUUUACGGGACCCUGAAGCACACCGAGCUCUGAUUGGUUUAACUCUUGUAAAUUUAUGAAAUAAUUAAUUAACAACUAGAGUUACCGCCUAAUAAACAAAUCCGACACUUUUUUUCAGGACCAGCGUCUCAACCGGUUAGGAUAUCCGGUACAACGUAUAAACGUGACUACGGAAGAUGGCUACAUUUUAGGCCUCUAUCGAAUCCCUUUCAGCCCAAAGUCUCCCUUGGUGGAAGGCGUCGUCAAAAAAGCUGUAAUACUGCAACAUGGGCUCCUUGCCAAUGGUUUCGCCCUUUUUGGUCUAGGUUGCUCUAUACAUACGUAAAUAUUUGGUGGCGAAUUGUAAAUAAGUGAACGGUUGUAUUUUAAAAUUGACGUGACUGAUUGAUAUUUUUUAGGAAUUCUACUAGCCGAUUCGGGGUUUGACGUGUAUAUUGCCAAUUCUCGGGGAAAUAGCUAUUCUCAAGGGCAUAUAAACCCCGAUAUGACACUGGAUAAUUGGAAAUAUUGGGAUUUCAGGUAUGCAAUAUGUGCAUUACUCGUAAAUCGAUUAACCUUAGUUCAUUACGCAAUUAGAGUAUGUAUUUACAUAUCUAUUAAUUGAGUAGAUUACCCACCCAUUCCCCCUUUUUAUUAAGGGGGUAUUGGUAUUACCCUACUCUAUAUUUUUCUCUUUAGUUUUCACGAGAUGGGGAUAUUCGACAUUCCCGCCGUCAUUGAAACCGUUACAGACAUCACGAAACAGCAGUCCAUGUAUUUCGUGGGUAUAAGCAUGGGUGCCACUCUGCUGGCGGUUAUGCUCGCCGAGCGACCAGAAUACAACCCGCGCAUUGCUACCGCAUUUCUACUCGGCCCUUCCAUUUAUCUAGGUCACACUGCUUUGUAUAUUCAACCGUUCCUGAAUUUCGUGAAUUACUAUCAGGCAAGCGAAUUUCAAACAAAAAAUGUUCAGAAAAACUCAUUUAAUGUUAUGUAUCCCUGGAAGGAAUUAUUUUAAUUACAUUCUAGUACAUCUCGAACACACUUGUCGCUGGUAGACUAGACCCUGAAAUUGAGACACACCUACUGUUCGGGUCAUCACCAGCUCAUCUUUGUUCCAAUGAAAAAUAUGCAUGCGGAAUAUGUUCGAACAUUUUUUUCUCAAGGUUUGGAUAUAACGGUCCUCACAGAAAUUAUGUAUGUUACGAAAAUAUAUGUACAUUAAUUGACUGUUAUCAAGAAAUUGUGCAAAUACAUAUUUAUCUGUUUAAGACCACAAUUGGUCACCUACUUGGUACCUUCCCAGUGACCACGUCUACCAAAGCGUACAUACAUCUUUUGCAAUUGAUGAAAACCAAUAAAUUUUGUCAAUUUAACUACGGAUUUGGAGCAAUUAACAAAUUACGGUAUGGCCGAAGUAGUCCGCCCUGUUAUGACAUGCACAAUAUUUCCAGCCCAUUACUCGUAUUUUGGGGUGCAAAUGAUGUAUUUGCAAAACCACAGGAUAUUGCAAAAAUGGUGUCGAAAAUUCCGAAAAACGCGUUGAAAGAAUGUAUCAAAGUAGACUCGAAACACUUUACGCAUUUGGACUUUGCUAUAGCGAAAGAUUCUUAUAUUUUAGUGUACAAAAGAAUAAUUGAUGUAAUGUUGAACGCAACGUACGGAUGAUUAAAGAGCUAGAUAAAUCAAAUAUUUUUACACUCGGUUCGGGUAUAGAUUUGUUAAUAACUUCCUCCCGGAUUGGUAACAAUUUGUUUGUUAGUAGUAAAUUCUCACGUCACGGCCACUACGGUGUACUUCAUUUGAAUACGGUAAUGCCCGUAAUAUAUUGACUCAGGCUGGUAAUAAUUCGAUAAAAUUUUGCUAGGAGUGU